GUUCUUCUAAACCUCCGACCUAUGCAGGAACCCUCUGGCUUCCACGCGCUCAUUCUUCACAUUGAAAAGAAAGCAGAAAAUUGGUGGCAACGCGACUCCAAUGAAGUAGGUAGAACAUAUUCCACGUGAGACGAAGAUUGUACUUGCAACCAUUCCCCUCCCAGAGCCAGACUAAUUAGAGUUUAUGCAAGAGGACGUGGGCUACAUCUGAGGAUACAUUCCCCACUGUAAAGUUGAGCACCCGGAAGCCAUAGAAUCUCAGCUUGAAUUCUGGAUCCAUGUCUUCUUAAAAACAGAACCUUAGAUUGAAUCUUGUCUCAUCUGCAAGGAUUAGCAUGAGGAACGCUUUAAAAGCCCUGGUAAGACAUUUACUUCAGCACUAAAUCAAUGUGAGCCUGGAUGAUGUAUUAUGGUCAUCACUGUUUUCCUUAGUUACUCUUCGACUCCUCGGAAGUACGUACAGAAGACAGUGAAAUGGUGAGAGUUCUACCAAAUGAGUAAAACCUUUCUGAAGAGCACUCAAGGGCCAUUCCAGGACCCCGCAUGUUACGGCCCCUGUGUGUUUAUCUCAUUCUUCUAUGCUUUUUUGCCGCCAGCUCCGGAACAGUAUCUCUCUGGAUGGUCUUGUGUUUAGAUUUGACUUCAUUCCGAGGACCCUUCAAGACAGAAGUGUAGCAUUUGUUUAUGAGCAGGUGAUGGCAGCUUUGAGGGAUACACCGAGGGAGUUUAGAAGACUGGAGUCACGAAACAAAGAGUUUGGGAUUAUCAUUUUCUCACCAGUCAACCAACUGAUAAGAGAAGGGAGGAAUGUGACAAGUAAGAAGAGCCCUUGCG